rnacentral:rRNA from 1 species
UGGAUCCAGACUUUGAUCAUGGCUCAGGAUGAACGCUAGCUACAGGCUUAACACAUGCAAGUCGAGGGGAAACGACAUCGAAAGCUUGCUUUUGAUGGGCGUCGACCGGCGCACGGGUGAGUAACGCGUAUCCAACCUGCCCACCACUUGGGGAUAACCUUGCGAAAGUAAGACUAAUACCCAAUGAUAUCUCUAGAAGACAUCUGAAAGAGAUUAAAGAUUUAUCGGUGAUGGAUGGGGAUGCGUCUGAUUAGCUUGUUGGCGGGGUAACGGCCCACCAAGGCAACGAUCAGUAGGGGUUCUGAGAGGAAGGUCCCCCACAUUGGAACUGAGACACGGUCCAAACUCCUACGGGAGGCAGCAGUGAGGAAUAUUGGUCAAUGGACGAGAGUCUGAACCAGCCAAGUAGCGUGCAGGAUGACGGCCCUAUGGGUUGUAAACUGCUUUUAUAAGGGAAUAAAGUGAGUCUCGUGAGACUUUUUGCAUGUACCUUAUGAAUAAGGACCGGCUAAUUCCGUGCCAGCAGCCGCGGUAAUACGGAAGGUCCGGGCGUUAUCCGGAUUUAUUGGGUUUAAAGGGAGCGUAGGCCGGAGAUUAAGCGUGUUGUGAAAUGUAGACGCUCAACGUCUGCACUGCAGCGCGAACUGGUUUCCUUGAGUACGCACAAAGUGGGCGGAAUUCGUGGUGUAGCGGUGAAAUGCUUAGAUAUCACGAAGAACUCCGAUUGCGAAGGCAGCUCACUGGAGCGCAACUGACGCUGAAGCUCGAAAGUGCGGGUAUCGAACAGGAUUAGAUACCCUGGUAGUCCGCACGGUAAACGAUGGAUGCCCGCUGUUGGUCUGAAUAGGUCAGCGGCCAAGCGAAAGCAUUAAGCAUCCCACCUGGGGAGUACGCCGGCAACGGUGCAACUCAAAGGAAUUGACGGA